AACAAGCCAGAGACAGAAGAUUUCUGGAAUUAUGUGGGUAAUCUUUGUGCAGAAGGAGCUAAAAGACUGUUGUGCUGGUAGAGAUACCAAACAUCCUUGGGGUGAAAAUGCUGAAAUAAUUUUUUUCCCUUACUAUCUAAGAGGUUAGAGCAAACAAUCCUGUUGCACUGGUUUGCAAAGACCCAGCAAACAACCUUUCCUGUGGUAACCAAUAAUUGCUAUUCUCUCCUCUGCUUUUUUGUGUGACAGAUCAGGAAUGGUGGUAAAAUAUUCAGGUCUCUUUCUUCCUGCCUCUCUUUCUUCAUAAAAAAUAAAGGAACUCAUGGCAUAUUUUGUACCAGAGAGUGACUACUCAGCAGUAGUGUAGCUAGACCAGGUCUGGUAAAGCAGUUCUUGCCCUUACACACUGUUCUUUGUAUGCACUGAUAUCCCAGAUCUAUAAAUGAUAAAUAUUCAGUGUGGUGUUUAUAUACUUGCUUUAUGGGAAGUACUACAUAGGAAAGUCAUCCUCUUGUACAAAUUCAUGGCAGGAGAUGGGUGGAGUAGGGACAGGGCACUGUAGGGGCUGGAAUAAAUAUGUGUAACAAUUUUACAGCAGCAGGGAGAAGCCUGACUGUCAGACUUGGUUUUCAAACUCAGUGUAAGAACACUAUCAUUCCUCUUACAAGCUCUCAGCAGCAAAUGGCCCCACAGUUCAUUUUGGAUAUCCUUAUUCGCAUCACUGCCAAUGGAAAGGAGAUUCCAAUUUUGAGAGGAGCAAAGGCUAAUUUGCCUGUAUUUCCUUUCUAGAGCUCUUGGAGCCCUACUGGAGCUCACAGAAGUCAUCUGAGACUUCAGGAGGAUUUAAAUCAGGCCAUAAGUACUGCUGACUUGGAUUAGUAAUGAUGUGCAUUGAGGACAACAUCUGUAUUUGGGUUUGGGUGGAGCUCUUUCAUGGUAGAAGAGUUGGUAAUACUUUUACAGUACCUUUCAUCAGAGCAUUUCAGAGUUUCACAAAUAUCUAAUUACAGAAACUAUUAAACUAUGUGAAAUCCUUGGUCCUGGGGGAGUACAGGCAGUACCAUUAUGCCUCAACAGAAAGCAGAGAUGGGUGGUGUUCAAAGUGGCAAAACGAAAGCAAUUUUUCACAUGCAAGCCAUAACCUGUUACACUAUCUCAUUUUCAUCCUAUGUUUUACUCCUCCCAUUUCUUUAAAUUGGCAGCCAGGUUUCAACACCAAAUGAGCUAAACAAAAUGGGCUGCCACGAACCUCCAGUGGGAACUACUGUCAGCCCUCAGGAAGGGAUUUCCGAAGUUCAUGCAUCUCUUACUGAUCUGUUUUCAUAGUAUUUGUAUUUCUUUACUCUGUUAAGGUGUAGCAGGACUUAGCUAGGGUCAAGUGCCAAGGAAGCCAACAGUGACAGCUUCCUGGGGACAGGAGCUCUGGGCUGACAUGCCUCUGAAAGUCCAGCCCAAUCCAAAUCCCAGCAAGCUGGUCACUCAGCCUUUGCAAGGACUGUGUGCCUGCUCUGUACUGUGCUUCAUCUGGGUUUAGCAGUGGGGGAUCUAAUUGAUUUAUUCUACUUAAGUCCAUCUCUCUCCUGAUCUUGGUUAGUAAAUAUUCCACUGUUUAGAGACUGAGUUUUUAUUAAAGGGAUUUUUUGACUGAAAAUGUGAAGCUUUUACUGGUAGCACCGAGGCUCAAAGCCUGGGCUGCCCAUGCCCUUGACUUCCUUCUGUGUUCCAGAUCUGCAUGGGUGGGCACUUCAGGUAAAUCUGAGCCUUCACUAUUUGAAUACAAGGGCCCCAAGGAGUUGCUCAUCAAGACUGACUUUAAAUGCAAGCUUAGCAGGCUGAACACUUUGAUUUGCCUCUAAAAUCAACAGUAACUUAUUCCAGGUUUCCUGGUUGAAACUUGAAUGGGGAAGAAGAAAGGAUGUCUGCAAAGCAGAUUUAUUUAGGAAAACAAACUGCUCACUGGUUGGGACCCUGUAACAACAAACCCAGGCUUAGAUUUUCCUCUGUCUGCAGUAUCUGUGAUACUUUUUUCAGCUUUCUCCCAACCCUCCCUGCUGUGCCCUCAUGGUCUCUCCUUAUGUGUAAGCAAUAAAGUAAAAUUUACAAGCAUCCUGCUCUCUGAAAUCCUGGCAAAGACAGAGUCCUGGAAAUUUCCCUUUCCCCAGUGCACAAGAGGAGACUGAUCCUGGGAGAACAAGGUGGGGAGAAGUGCUGCUGUUUGUUUACCAUCCAAAACUAAGGAUGAGCACUCGGACAGCAGCAGACCCCUGGAUGCUCCAGCUGCAGCAAUGGCUCAUGUGGAAGCCCAGCUAAAAAGAUUGCAUCAAAGUGAGAGGGUUUUUCUUUGCUUGCAUUUGAAAGAUCAUUACUCAUGUCUUCUGCAUAAGCCCUCCCACCUGCUAGUGACAUUUAGUGACACAACAACCUGGUUCCCAAAAGGCUGGGAUAACAGCUCUGCAGCAGGGUAACGGUGACUCACAAUAUUUGCAGGUUUGGCAUUCACAUAUGGAAUGUUUUCUUCUCCAUAUGUUUGUACAAUAGGCUUCCAGCAUGUGAAACAUCUGAAGUGUCUGAAUGAAAUAAUAGGGUCACGUAGCUGGAAGUCCAAGCACAAACAGCUCUUCUUUUGCCAGGCCAGUUUACACCUAUAUGUGUGUGUUUUGUUUGCUUUUAAAAAUACAAGUUUAUUCCCAGGAAGUGGCCAGCAAAUUUUGCAUGGGAUUGCCUUUCAAUUCUCCUUUCUCCUGUUUCUUGUCCUUUCAAAACGAAACAAAGCUUUUGGGAACGUAUAGUGCUUGUGGAUUUCAUUAUUUAAAUCUACCCCAUGUGUUUGGGAGGUGAUGUAUAUAAAGUUAGUUUGGGAACAUUAGUUUUACAGAUUCCUAUGAAUAUACAUAACUUGUUUAAUGGUGUUCAAUUUUUAUACUGAACUCCACAAGUAAACUUUUACUGCAGGACUGUAGCUUUUGUUUUGUUAUAUAUUCUGUCUUUUUACCAAGCAGUAGAAAACAAUCUGACCAUGCUUUCUACUCUUUAAUUGGAGCUACUUUAAAUUGGUCAAUUUAAAGAAAAUGAAAACCAGAUUGAUCUUCUGGAAAUUGCCUCAUCACCCAUGUCAGUUCCCACCAACACUAUCAUUUACUAUUAAUUUUUCUAUGAUAUGUUGUGUACACUUUGUUAAUGAGAACUUGCUCCAGUAGAGAAUAGACCUAUGUGACCUAUUAAAGCCCUGAAGCAAAUGGCCAUGGCAUCUUGAACUCUUCAUUACACUGCCUUACUUUUAUUUACCAUGGUCCCAUCAUAUUCAGGAUUAUUUGCCUGAGGAGACACUCUAAAUGAUGCCUUUGUUUCUCUUUCUAAGGCUUUACAUUUUUUUUUUGUAUAUUUGAAUGAGGGUAUUUUCUGAAAAAGGAACCCAACAAACUAGAACAGGGAUAGCAGCUUUGUGUAGAUGAAGGAUUUUAUUUGAUAGGGCAUCUUGCAUCCUUGUUAGAGAAUCUCUAUUUGUUUGCUGAGUGUCCAGUCACAAGAGUUAGCUUUGUUUUCCCCCCCCUGCAAGGAUUAAUCUGAAAGGUCCACAAGAAAAGGCUGGGAAUUCCAGCACUCCCUGGUGGAUGUUAUGUUAGAUACUUUGCAUGUUUCCUUGGGCAUAAAAGCUGGUGUUGUGAUGAAAGGGGAAAGCCAAUGUUCAGACUGCUCUCCUAGGGGCAUGGAUCACAUUUGUUGCAUGAGCAUAGCACAAUAUAUUUAUGAGACAGUUAUGAGAGGUUUCUGCUUAAAAUAGGUCUGUUUUAUGGGUAUAAUGGUUACAGUCCCCAAAGGAACACUGCCUAGUCAAGUGGGUCUUUCCAAGCACUGGAUUUGCAUAUUUUAAAUAGAUUUUUCAAAUCAUUUGAUAGAAAAACAAUCUGGCUUUUGUCCUUUCAGAUUGAAAUGAGAAGAAGGAAAUUAAUAUUGUAAUGUGGGACUGCAGUCAAGACAGAGAAAAGUUCAGAAUAAAACCUGGCACUUAGUUUCUAAUAAAAGCACCUGGAUGUAAAUGAAAUUAAAGGAAAAAUGUCCUGUGCCUUGGCCUAGGUCUCUUCCAGAGCAUUUCUUCUGUAUUUCACACUCUACCAACAUUUUAUCCACUUCAUAAGUGUGUCUGAACCUUAACAUGCAUCAACUAUUGAGUAAUCAGUGAAUGCUAGGAUAACUCCUAUAAUGAUAACUUCAAUCUGGAAAUCUGACAGGUAGCAAAUGUACCCAUGAGCUGCCAAGCCCAGAGGAAACUAUUCAUCAUAAGCAUUUCUAGCUCUAAAAAUAUAGAUCAUAGCUGUAACUUGUAAGGGAUCUUGUAGGUGAAUCCAACUCCUUCCUAAUUACAGAGUUGAAAGGGGAGAACUAAAACUUCUGCCUAUUUGUGAUGUGGUGAAAAAGAACAAGGAUUCUUUUCAGUGUUCUGAGACUUCACCUCUGAACCCUUAUGUAGCUGAGCUAGCAAUGAGCCUCCUGCAGUCCCACCUUUGCUGAGAGGGGACAUAUUCUUCCAGAGGGCUGUUAAGACCACCUCUAACUAUUGCUCUGCAUCUCCCUCUCCCAGAGUUGUAGGAAACAACUCUGGCUUCUGCCUGCCGAAGGAAAUUAGCUAAAUUAGCCAGCAUUUAUUGCACCCAGAGCUGUGUGUUCUUCAUCUUAUGUAGGAAUCCUGCAUCAGGUACCCAAAAAGGUCUGUGGCUGCUGCAGAAAAAUCUGCCCACUGCUCAUAACUACGGUGUAGGUUGGCAUCUCUGGCCUAAUGGGGGUGAACUGGUUUUCCUUCUCCCAAAAGCAGCAGAGCAUUCUGCUGCCUUUCCCCUGCAUGCUCUGAAGGCAAGAACGAAAUGUCAAUGUAUGCUCAGAGUGCAUAUACUGCUGAUCAUGCUAUGGAAAGCUGGGCUGUUCCAUGGGUGAUUGUUCAGAAAACAGCCCCUGCUUGUGUCCCUGGGAACAAGCAUUUUUUUGUUGUUUGGGAACAAGCAUCUCUGGAGUUAAAUGAGGAGGGCUGUUGUUCUCCACAGAGGCUGGAGUGUCGCUGUGCCUGGUGGUUGUCGAGUGCCCGUGUUUGUUUUUUUGUGAUUUUCCUUUUCCCCACCUCCUGUUCUGAGGAUCAAGGAGGAGGGAUGGUGACCUCAUGGUGCAGUUAUGCAAUCUGCCAGAGCCAGGUAUCAAAACACACUGCAGCUGUGGGACCUCGCUGUGGCUGGGGGCCCUGGCCUCCUGGCUCUAAUGAGAUCACUGACCUUCUCCUGCCACUUCUUCUGCAGCUGCUUGGAUUCCCAGGGAUUUGUUGUGGCCAUGCCUGCCUAACGGUUUGGAAAGCUGCUGCAGGGAAUGCUGCAUCCACAGGCAGGCUCUGGAGCUGGCCCUGGAGACCUACAGCAGGAAGUGAGGAGAAGGUUGCCUGUUCUCCAGUGAAAUAAAGCAGUGCCUUCCCAGCAAUCUUCUUGUGAUGCUUGAACUGCAGCAGAAACACAUAUGGGAAGAAUAAGAGAGAAUACCAUGUCUGCAGUCUGAGGCAUAUUUGGGCCUCCAAGUCCUCGAGACUCAUUCAGACUUUGCAUUUUUUGCUCUAGGUGCUGAACUGCAUUCCUGCUUCCCUUCCCUACUCUUCUAGCAGUAUUUUGUUUUCCUUGCCUCCUUCAGUAAGAGGCUUUCACAGCCUCCUUCUCUUCCUACCUGCAUAUUUGUUCUCUUCAAAUGUCCUGCAAAUUAUUAAAAACAAUAGAAAACUCUGAGAUAAACAUGAAAACAGGGCCUUGUGAAGCUGUCUGAUGUGGGCCAAGAAAGAAUACAAGACAAGUCCAUUUCCUGAAAAUGGGAUUUGCAGAGUGGAAAUGUCACAUCCAUAAUCACUUUCAUGUGGUGGAACUGCUGCUGCCCACCACUAAAAUAACAGAGCAUCUGUUAAAAAAUGUGGGUUUGGUUUUGCUUAAAUCCAGCAGGUUGCACUCAUUUCAAGACGUAUUAAGUCCUCAUUUAAAAACAUGAGUGCAAGUGCUUUGGUACCAUAAAUGUAUUAAAAGCAAAUGUAUGCUCAGCCCAGCUUGAGUCCCACACUGAACCCCGUUCAGAGCUCGUUUGUGUGAAUGGCUCAGUGAGCAAGGAGAACAUACAUGUGUGCAGAAGGUGGGUUUGUGUUGGAACAGAGAUACUGGGAGGGCAAGGGAGACCCCUCAGCAAGCAGGGGACUCUCAUAAUUGAUGGGAACUCUUUUGGAGACCAAGCUGAGGAAUAAUUACAAAUAAAGACUGAAAAAAAGGAGAUGGAAACUAAUAACUAAGCAAAGUGUUUUGCUCUGUCUGAUCUGCUUGUGCUAACUCUGCUACUUUCAAUCAUCCAGAGACACUUGAAGAUUUGCCCUAAUGUGGGAUGAGAGGGUCUCCUUUGCUGCUGCCUCAUGCUUCAAGCAGGAAAAGCAAUUUGGCAGAGAGGGAAGUGGCAAUUCCAAGGCAUUUCUAGGAACUCUUGUACUGCCAGGUGGAAAAAAUAGGUUAGAUGUGCUACAGCUGUAUCUUGUUCAUUCUAAUGGAAGAAAAUAAACCUUGCAUGCAAUGAUGAGCUGAAAAUGCAAAAUUAAAUACAGCACUAAUUUUC